CCUCAGUCAUCUCAGAUAAGGUACGCUCAACCUGUGUCAAAUUUUUAAAAACACUUGGAUGUUAAUAGUUUUUGUAUUAUCACUUCUUGGCCUCCUUUUUUGUUCUGUUUUGUUUUUAGCCAAUGUCCAUUGUGCAGAUGCCUCAUUUUCCAACUACCUCCUUCAGGUGUUCCCUCUUCUCUGCCUGAACCAAAAACAGCCUCUUACCUGAAGUCAUUGAUUCCUUUGCACACUGUUCCUUGCUGACUGAUUUGUUCCUACAUUCUGUAUGACUCCUGGUGGGAGGAAGUGGUGGUGUUUUCCUUCCUCCCCAUGGCCUCUACUUGCAUCUCAAUUCUCCUACACACUGUUCUUUCACUCUGAUAGAAUAAUUUUGGGUUUUGGGGGGGGGUUUCUUGUUUUGUUUUGUUUUGGGUUUUUUUGCGGUACUGGGGAUCGAACUCAGGACCUUGCGCUUGUGAGGCAGGCGCGGUGCCUCUGAGCUAAAUCCCCAGCCCCAUCUGAUAGAAUAAUUAAUGAGCAAUUUUCCCCACACUUGUCUCUGUCUUGACUCCAAGCAGGCAGCAGACUUUGGUCUUCCUGGCCAAAGGGUACACCUUGACAGUGUGGAAGCAAACCUGCUUGAAGACAACCCUCUCCCUCACUGUUCUCCUCUGAUGUCCUGCUUGGGCAUUAAGGACUAGGCUGUGGGGAGAGAGGGAGAAGAACAACAGGAAGAAAGAAGAUUCUGUGGGGAACAAAGAAUGCAAAUGCUAGUGACAGCCCUCUAGCCAUGUGGAUUAUCUUUGCCGUGACCAAAUCCCUGACACGCACAGUUUAAAAGAGGAAAAGUUUAUUUGGUUUAUGGUUGCAGAUAUUUCAGUUCAUGAUUGAACCUGUGUUUUCAAUUCUUCAGCCCUUGCCUCAAGCAGAACUGAAUCUUGACACUUUGGCCAGGUGACUUUUCAGUGCUCCCACGGUACCAGGUGGGAGAUAAGUCCCCACUCUGUGGAUGUGGAUGGAGGUCAUGUGACGUGCUUUAGUUGGUCCCCUUCUGACCUUAGCAUUUAUCAUGAGGAAGCACAUGGUAGACCCAGAAAAAAGACAUGGGAAAUAAAGUGAAGUAGAACUGAAGUCUGGAACCAACUGUAGCCAAACUCCACCCACUUCCAGUUCAUCUGAAAUCUCAAAUGUAGAGAACAUUUUUGAAAGCCACAGAGAUUAUGGAGUUAACAUGAACGCAGCCAAAAUUGACUGAGAAACUUACACUUAGAAGAGGACUUCUUCUAUGAAAAAUCCUGAAGUGUGUCUAUUGUAGGAAACUGGAAAACUGACAACAAAGGUUGUGCAGCUGUGGAGCACAUGAGAUGCCACUCUCGCCCAAGAACUCGAGAGUUAGAAAUGCAUGCAUUCAACUUGUGGCCCUGAGCAAAGAGUUACUGGCAAGAAGUUAAUAGUACAAGUGGCUACUGUUUCUACACUUGAUAAGAGGAAGGAGACACACUCAGAGUCUAACUGGCCAGUGUGUAUACAGACUUGAAAACAAGAAUUUAGAGAGCCCAGGGUUUCACAAUUUUCAGGAAGUGAGACUGGUUCUCAUCUCAAACUGUGGACAAUGAAAAUGACCAACAUUUGAAACUGGAAAGUCAUUCUAAAGCACAGGUUUAGGGCAAAGGCUAUCUGAGUGUGUUGUCAUCACCAAGACCUCAGGGAGGAUUAAGGCAGCGCCUCGAAGACGGCUUCAAAGAAGUCUGAGAGGGUGGACACACACGAUCCUGAGACACCCAGAGUGGGGACGAGAUGUCUCAAAAAGAGUCACAGAAGCAUUGUCACACAACAGCACGCCAUACUCUAUAAAUGAGGAAAAUCGUGCCGGAACAAAUUUCCUUGUACUAAAUUAUCUUUCUCGCCCUGCUUAGCUCUGUUGCUCCAAGCAUGUUUAUCUAUGGAACAUCAGGAAGGACUUAGGAAUGCUUUGCAUUCUGCGUUCCCAGAUUCCUAAGUUCCUACAUUCCUCUGUAAGGUCUUACUGUGCCCAACAUUGUGUUCCACCGGCGUUGUACGUCUGUACAGGUUCUUCCUUGUCCACUUUCCUCCUUGGCCCCGUUGGAAGUGGAUUUUAAUGGUUAUAUUUUCCUUGGAGUAAGUCCACUUAUUGUCCAUGACAUUUUGGGUAUGCAAAUGCUUUUUGAAGUCUAGGAUCUUAAUUCCUUUCAUAGUACAAUUUCUUCAAAAUCACAGUAGCCUUGUGACCUAUUUUCUUCCCGUGUAUACCGUGGGAUAGUUGCCACAGCCACAUAAUUUACUAAUUAAAUUCUCCAGCCUUAAUUGUUUCUCUGCCCUAUAGUCACUGCAUCAUUCUUUAACUUUUGUUUCUGCAGGUUCUCAUUCAAUGGGACAUAUUUCUUUGUGAGUUUUGGUUGACUUUGACUCUGAUGCUCAUUUCCCUUUGUAAAACUAUUUGUUGGGAUUCCCUGAAGUGUAGGAUGAGAGUUCUUUCUUCUGGGGAGAAUUCAGCUGUCCAACCAACCAGACUUGGCAGUGUCAUUUGAGCUCCACCCUUUGAGCCCAAUGUGCAGAGUGGGGUUUACCAUGUUAGGGGAACUUGGGCUGUGACUUCACAAUGACUGGGCCACACAUUUUUUUAUAUUUCUAUUCCUUUUUAAUUUAAUUUAAUUUGGGGGGUACCAGGGAUCAAACUCAGGACCUUGUGCUUGCGAGGCAGGCACGGUGCCACUGAGCUAAAUCCCCUGCCUCCUUUUUAACAUUCCAUUCAAUAUGACAGCUGCCUUCCCUGCAGUACUCAGGAGCUCAGAAAAAUGCAGAUGUACUUAUGGUUUGCUCUAGCCAGGAGGGCAGAGUUCUUUUCAUUUCUAGUGCAGUUCUGGGCC
ensembl:lncRNA